UUAUGCUCCGUAGACAUAAAGGCGAAAAAUUGAAGACCAGCCCAUUUGAAGUACAAAGUGCAAAUUUUUUCACUUUAUAUAAGCCCGAAAUAGGCGUUCAGUUCUUUAGUUCUUCCCCCUCUUUCCCUCCGGCGAGGCAAAUCGAGUUGUCUUUUCAUCUCUGGGUUAUUAGCUGCAUAGUUAUGAUGGAUCUUGAUCUCAACAAGUUCGGAAGAGAUAGGAGCUUUUGAGGGUUUUAAACUUCGUACAGUAUUUGCUCCUAGAUUGAUUUUUCCCCUUUGCUUCAAUUAUGUUAUACUUUUAUCAGAUCAAAUGAAAGUAAACGGUCAGUAGGCUCUUUAUUACAUAGUGGAGCAUUUUAGUUUCUGAUAGCAUAUCUGACAUUUAUUGGUCUUUCCCAUUGAAAGAUUGAGAACUUUGUUAUUCCUUGGAAUUUCUGGUUUUGAUGAUGAUGAUGAUGAUGAUUCAGAAGGUCAUUGAAACUAGAAUUUUAGAGAAAAUCUUGCUUGGUGCAAGAUCAAAGUUUCUGCGUCAGGAGACUUACUUGUCGUCAAGAUAUAUUUUGAAUGAUUAACUUGUGGUUAAUAUAUAAGGCUGGCCCUUCAUUUAAAAUUGCAUGGGUCACACUCAUAGGGAUCCAUUAUUUUAUGUACUUAAAAAGGAAUUUAUCUACUUCUACUGUUUUCUUGCAUAUAUCGUCCAGCAAACAUUUCUAUUGCCAAUUUUAUCUGAAGUAACCAUCUUUUCUUCCAGCGAAAUAUGUUUAGGACCUAUAUAUGAUAUCCUGCUUUGUCCGGGAUGCUCUAUGUUUCUUGUACGUUUUUUACUUUAAGUUUCACCCUUGCUAUCUCCCUAUUUCCCUCCCUGAAAAAUGGGAAACUCAUUUAUAUACAUUUAAAGUGCAGACUUUGAUCUGGUAAUACCUUUCAGAGCUGUGGGUUAUUGGGUUGAUGUUUUUUUUUUUUCUUAAUCUGAAAUCAUUUUCAUAAAAGUAGAAAGUGUACGUUCUUUAACUUUUACCCACCACCUAUGGUGCAAAAAACUCCUUUUUGAUCGAGAAAAAAAAUUCCAUUUUUGAUUGUUCAUGCUACUAUAUUCACUGUCUAUCAGAGCUUCACGAUGACAAGGAUAGCUCGUGAGGUUUAAAGCAGUGAUAGAUCAAAUUUGGAGCUUCAUGAUGCUUCUGAUCUUAAAUAGAUCAGUUGAUGAAAGUCUUAAGAUGCCUGCCUCUGACAUGUAUGACUGCUUAAUUUUAAUAGAUGUUGGUUUGCUAGUGGUAGAAUGUUGAGUCAUUGAUGAGACUUUCCUGGCAUUUCUGUUUUUUUUUUCCACAAUUUCUGUCAAAUCCUAAUAUAGAAAGAGUUAUUUAAAUAUUUGACACAAAUUAUAAGUACUCACUUUUGGCAUACUUAAAAGGACCAAAACUGCUCAAGAGUAUAUUUAAGGGGCUAUUUUUGACCUACACCCAAACAUAAGUGACCAUUUUUUUCAUUUUCUCGUUCCUAGUGAGUUCAUUACCUUAGAUGUUAUGUCGUUUGAUACUUUUUAUUGGCAGGAUUUGAAAAAUAUGAAAUGCUCUUGAAAUUUUGCUUCAAUGUUAGCUUUGCGAAUGCUUAUAUAUAUCUCUAUUGGAUAUUCUUUAUCUGAAAUGGGGAUUUCCAUCAUCUGUUGUUUUGUGUCUUCAGGGCCUAGAGAACUUGGUGGUUCAGUUGAUCUUCUAGACCAUUAGGAAACAUCUCGAUCUUUUUUGUAAGAGGUCAUUACCUCCCUCUAUAUCUGAGACACGAUACCUUAGGAAUGUGGUGGGGGACACAAAAAUAAGGAAAGGUGAAGGAAUGGAACUCGAUAAGCUGUCCAAAAGCUCCUCCUAUGUGGGACAUAGACGUGUACCUUUGCAUCCUUUUGGCUUGGGUCUUCUUACGGAUGCUUUUAAGCUCAGAGAUCCUUGUUGUGCUCUCUUACUGUUUUGGGAGUGCUAACUCAAGGCUUGGUUAGCUAUACUACUAUAGUUUUGUCAUAAAAUUUCCUGAGUAACUUAUCGUUGUGUUAAUGAUAGGCAGACAUCGGAUUACCUUCAGGUGCAUCAAAUUUGAAGAAUGAAUAUAAGGAAAAGAAGCAUAAGAAGCAUAAGAAGCACAAACACAAAGAUAGGUCGAGGAAACAGGAUCCUAGCAUUUGCAUUGACAAAGAUCGUAUGUCAAGCAGGGAUAACAAUAAGGAGAAAAAUGGGAGUAAGGCGCAGAAUUAUGGUCCAGAUUUGUUUAUGAGACAACAAGUAAAGGCAUUCAGACAAUCAUGAGUGUACAUAGUGUUAUCAGUUAUGACAUCACAGAUCUGUUCAAGGGAUUAGCAAAGAGCAUUCAAAUGAAUCCACAUUACAAUCCAUUGCAUAUAACAGGUUUGGAUUUUGUAUUAGUCACUUCAGUUUUGAUGAAUCUCGUUUAAGAUAUUGCCUUAGUUAUCAAUUUCAGUUCAUAUUUCUGUCGCCAAACUCGGGGGUUUGGUGAUCACGCCCAGCUUACAACCUGACGGAGUCGUUUGGCACCUCGAUGUGGACUCAUCACAUCCUGGGGUUGAAGAAGGUCCCAAGGGUUCGGUUGUUCUUCUUAUUCUUCUUCUUUCUUAGUUGAGGUUCCCCUUCUCCGGCAGCAAGUUCAAUGGUUUCUAAGCUGGACGACAUUCAAAGGUGCUUGGUCACAACUCACAACAAAUAUAGCUUGGCUUUGAGUCCAGAGUCAAUCCUAUAGAGAGCGUUGGACUAGUUCUACUAACAAAACAUAUGCAUAUACCCAAAAAAAACUGAACAAUACAUGUGCAAAAAAGCCAAAUAUCACUACCCCACGCUUAGACUUUUGUUCGUCUUCGGGCAAAGAACCUAACUGACCUAACAUGUUCUAUAUAGGAUUCAAGUUCAAUUUCUUUCUUUGCUUCUGUUCAUCUAUUCCACUCACCAAGACUCAACAAUUUCAAGAUCGCAACCUAUAAGCACUUUCAUGAAUAGCUAUUGCACAGGAGCUGGGUUUACCCUGUGCGCACCUGAAGGAUAGCGGCUACGGGUUCCCAUGUCAUAAAAAAAAAAAAGAAAAAAAAAAAAAAGAAUGACGCAAGACUAAUUUGCAUGCACAAGCUAUUGUUUCAUGGUUCCACUAUGUGUGUGUUUAUAAUUUUCAACAAUGCAAGAAAUAAAGCUGACUACCUGAGCAACAAUAAUCUAUUAUCAUCACUUAAAUACUUAAAACUUCAACUUCUCUUAUCAACCUCAAGGAUCAACAGCUGGGUAAUUUUACUAAUCAAGAAAACAUUUAGUUCAUUUUUCACAACAUUUGGGAGAUUAGAUUUCUAGGAGUUCAAGUGAUUCACAUCAAUUUCAAUUGAAUUGCUUUAAAUGCAAGUGAAUCACCUCGACUAAUACUAGGCUCCGUUUUGAGUUUCAAACAAGAGGCUUUCUUCUCCCCUGGACGAGCAUUGGAACAUAUAUCCCUAUCCAUUCUUUCACAUUUUUGUACUUGUUUCACUUCUUUUUUCUGUGUCUUGAAUUGUUACCCUCCUUGUCACAGGCCUCAUACAUCCGUGUUAUUAUCUUUUUCCCUUAUUGUUUUUCUUCUUUUUAAUAACUGAAUCAUGCUCAUCCUCUUUAACUCACUUUUCAGAGGCAGCUCACAAUCAUCUGGUACCAUAGGAUUCAACAUUAGUGCUCAGGCUUUACUAGUGGAAACCAUUGUUUUAAGCAAGUGCAUUUGAAUUAAAAUCAAGAAUCAUAUUGUUCACUACUCUCUCAUACAGUUGUUUGUCUCUGAUAGAAGUAGAAACAAAAAUCUAAUGCAGUAUAGAAUAAGUAUCGUCAUCCAUGAAUAUCCACAAAAUAAAAAUUACUCCCCACCCCGCAUUUAAUUGAGUGCAUUGUCCGCAAUAUAUUAAGGGGUUUGGUUAGCCACAAGUUAUGCAGGGAUUAAAAUUGCACAGAUCCGUAAGCAGAGAUUAAUAGUGUGGGGAUUAUUUCUUUUUGGAUGUUUAGUUUGAUUAGUUUUAGUGUACGUGCGUUGCACGUGUGUAGUGAAUUUGUAAUUGACGUUCAAAUAAAUGCAAUAUUUAUUUAAGUGAUGAAAUAAAUGUUAUUACAUUGA